rnacentral:antisense_RNA from 1 species
UUUCGCGUUUGGCUUGUUAUCAACAAUCGCAUUGCCUACCGCAUGCAACAAGUGGGUUUUACCCAGACCAGUACCGCCGUA